UACAGAGGGGGCAAGCGUUGUUCGGAAUUACUGGGCGCAAAGGGCGCGUAGGCGGCCCGCUAAGUCGAACGUGAAAUCCCCGAGCUCAACUCGGGAACUGCGUCCGAUACUGGCGGGCUUGAAUCCGGGAGAGGGAUGCGGAAUUCCAGGUGUAGCGGUGAAAUGCGUAGAUAUCUGGAGGAACACCGGUGGCGAAGGCGGCAUCCUGGACCGGCAUUGACGCUGAGGCGCGAAAGCUAGGGGAGCAAACGGG
rnacentral:rRNA from 1 species